UACGGGGGGGGCAAGCGUUGUUCGGAAUUACUGGGCGUAAAGGGCUCGUAGGCGGCCAACUAAGUCGGACGUGAAAUCCCUCGGCUUAACCGGGGAACUGCGUCCGAUACUGGAUGGCUUGAGUUCGGGAGAGGGAUGCGGAAUUCCAGGUGUAGCGGUGAAAUGCGUAGAUAUCUGGAGGAACACCGGUGGCGAAGGCAGGUCUCUGGGCCGAUACUGACGCUGAGGAGCGAAAGCGUGGGGAGCGAACAGG
rnacentral:rRNA from 1 species